rfam:Ornithorhynchus anatinus chromosome 2, whole genome shotgun sequence.
CACCUCUCGGUGUCACACCUGGAGAGUUUCCAGUACUCUAUCUGUCUCAACUUUGGGAGGGAGAGUCAUGCAGAGGCAUAUCCAUUCCAGUCCUAGCUUGGGCAGUGGCUAGUAAGUGGAAGGCAAUCUGCUACAAGU